CAGCAGCCGCGGGAAUACGAAGGGGGCUAGCGUUGCUCGGAAUGACUGGGCGUAAAGGGCGCGUAGGCGGCGAUCAAAGUCAGGCGUGAAAUUCCUGGGCUCAACCUGGGGGCUGCGCUUGAUACUUGGUUGCUUGAGUGGGGAAGAGGGUCGUGGAAUUCCCAGUGUAGAGGUGAAAUUCGUAGAUAUUGGGAAGAACACCGGUGGCGAAGGCGGCGACCUGGUCCUUGACUGACGCUGAGGCGCGAAAGCGUGGGGAGCAAACAGGAUUAGAUACCCGAGUAGUCCCUGUCUCUUAUAC
rnacentral:rRNA from 1 species